AAUACGGCGCUUUAAAUACACACACGUUUCGGCACAUACGUUAGGGUCCCUUGUGGGUUUCGUAUGGGAGGCGUGGAGGCUUAAC
rfam:Legionella worsleiensis strain ATCC 49508 Lwor_ctg029, whole genome shotgun sequence.